rnacentral:tRNA from 1 species
GCCCCCGUAGCUCAGGCGGAUAGAGCAAGGGAUUCCUAAUCCCUGUGCCGGGAGUUCAAGUCUCCCCGGGGGUA